GGCCAAUUCAAAGCAAAUCACGCUUUCGUGUUUGGCCUUUUGAAUAAAAAAAAUAUUUUCGCCCGUUUUUGUUGAUUUAACAGUUAAUAUCGCGUUUUUUAUUACAAUUUCUGUUGCACAUCGAGUAUUCCUGCAUUCCAAAUGGAAAGUUCGUGAUACUUAGAUGGCUAGGGAAGCCCACAAACUUGGAUAAUAAUGGUCGGUAGGUGCUCAAGGAAAAAAUGUGAGGACAUUUGUGGAAGGAAUAACGUCCUACGAUGCCGACGGAGGCGAUUGUUGCAUUCCAUUAUCGGAGACGUGGAGACCAAGCCGCCAAAUCGCAUGACUAUCUCCGUCGAACUCGCCGUCGAACCUGUACGUUGCCGACGGGUCGAUGGCACCGACGGCUUGACCGGCUACAACCAGGCAAAAAGGAGUUAUCAGUGCGAAUGUACUUUUCAACGGGUAGAUUCAUCGGAACUAGUGACAUGGAACAGCAAAGAAAUGGUAUUAUGUAAUAAAUUUAUGUAAA